rnacentral:rRNA from 1 species
CCCUUAGAUGUUCUGGGCCGCACGCGCGCUACACUGAUGAAUUCAACGAGCUCCUAACCUAGGCCGAAGGGUCCGGGUAAUCUUUGAAAUUUCAUCGUGAUGGGGAUAGAUUAUUGCAAUUAUUAAUCUUCAACGAGGAAUUCCUAGUAAGCGCGAGUCAUCAGCUCGCGUUGAUUACGUCCCUGCCCUUUGUACACACCGCCCGUCGCUCCUACCGAUUGAAUGGUCCGGUGAAAUGUUCGGACCGCGACAAGGCGGACGGUUCGCCGUCAGCUUUGCUGCGGGAAGUUCAUUAAACCUUAUCAUUUAGAGGAAGGAGAANUCGUAACA